rnacentral:rRNA from 1 species
GACGAACGCUGGCGGCGUGCUUAACACAUGCAAGUCGAACGAUGAAGCGGUGCUUGCGCCGUGGAUUAGUGGCGAACGGGUGAGUAACACGUGAGUAACCUGCCUUCCACUCUGGGAUAAGCGCUGGAACCGGCGUCUAAUACUGGAUAUGACAUUGCCUCGCAUGGGGUGGUGUGGAAAGAUUUUUUGGUGGUAGAUGGACUCGCGGCCUAUCAGCUUGUUGGUGGGGUAAUGGCCUACCAAGGCGACGACGGGUAGCCGGCCUGAGAGGGUGACCGGCCACACUGGGACUGAGACACGGCCCAGACUCCUACGGGAGGCAGCAGUGGGGAAUAUUGCACAAUGGGCGAAAGCCUGAUGCAGCGACGCCGCGUGAGGGAUGACGGCCUUCGGGUUGUAAACCUCUUUCAGCUCUGACGAAGCUUUUUGUGACGGUAGGAGCAGAAGAAGCACCGGCUAACUACGUGCCAGCAGCCGCGGUAA